ACUGAGUUUAAAAGGGGACAUGCACAAGGAAGGGUUGGAGCCGUGGAUGUGAGCAGGAAAGGGAUGUACGGAGAACUGCAGGUCCUUUGAAGGAGAGAACCUGGCAGAGGGACGGCCAAGGAGCUUUCUGGGAAAAUAACCAAGGGUCAGGUCAGUAUAAAACUCAUCAGUGAAGGCCGGAUCCAGCCAGAUGCGCCGAUGCAUCCUGGAACGUGUUUCGUAGGACCCUGUCUCUCAGAAAAGUGGUGUCCGUCCAAGUCCUGCCAGUUGAGGC
rnacentral:lncRNA from 1 species